rnacentral:rRNA from 1 species
AGUGAACGCUGGCGGCAGGCCUAACACAUGCAAGUCGAGCGGCCACACAGUAAGAGCUUGCGCCUGCCGGUUGCGAGUGGCGGGCGGGUGAGGCCUACAUCGCAGUCUACUUUUUCGUGGGGGAUGACGUAGGCGGACAUACGCUAGUACAGCAUACGUCCUACGGCUGAGAGCAGGGGCUCUUCGGACCUUGCGCGUUGGGAUGAGACGGUGUCGCAUUAGCUAGUUGGCGGGGUAAAGGACCACCAUGGCGAGUAACCGUAGCUGGUCUGAGAGGGUGAUCAGCUACACGGGAACGGAGACAGGGCACCGACUCCGAGGGGAGGCAGCAGUCGGGAAUAUUGGGCAAUGGGGGAAAGCCGGAUCCAGCAAUACCGCGUGAGUGAAGAAGGCCCUAGGGUUGUAAAGCGCUGUUGUUGGGAAAGAAAAAAAGCAGGUUUAUACGCGGCUGUUAUGACGGUACCGAAAGAAUAAGCACCGGCUAACUUCGUG